UACGGGGGGGGCAAGCGUUGUUCGGAAUUACUGGGCGUAAAGGGCUCGUAGGCGGCCAACUAAGUCGGACGUGAAAUCCCCAGGCUCAACCUGGGAACUGCGUCCGAUACUGGAUGGCUUGAAUUCGGGAGAGGGAUGCAGAAUUCCAGGUGUAGCGGUGAAAUGCGUAGAUAUCUGGAGGAAUACCAACGGCGAAGGCAGCACUCUGGGCCGGUACUGACGCUGAGGAGCGAAAGCGUGGGGAGCAAACAGG
rnacentral:rRNA from 1 species